rnacentral:rRNA from 1 species
GAAAGGGAAACGAUUGAAGUCAGUCGUACCGACGAGAAAUCAACUUAUCGUGUGCGAACUUGUGGGCGUGCGUGAGUUUCGGCCUCGCUGUUUGCAUGUUUGUGCGUUUUGGGUGUACUUUUUCGUAUGGUAGGCCAACGUCAGUUUCGAUUAUCAUAAAAUGACCGGCGGAAUGUAGCUUCGAUUUCGAUUGAAGUGUUAUAGCCUUCGGCAGAUGUGAUGAUCGGGAUUGAGGAUUGCAACGGAUACCCUUCGGGGCUACCUGUCUGGUCUCUGAUCGUUGCUCUGGUGCCGAAAGCGUGCUUACGGUUAUCAAAGUCGAUGGUCAAUAGGUUAGAACGGGUUAAAUUCGUUAAGGAUGUUGACGUA